rnacentral:misc_RNA from 1 species
AUCUUCAUCAGAUUUUGUUUUAAAUUUAAGGCACCACUGAGAAUCCAUUAAAGACCAAUGAGUCCUCAUAAAUUCUGCGAGUGCACGUGUCUCACCAGAUUUCAUAGCACCAACUACUUGCUUCUUGAGAAUGCUCUUUUCUGUUGUCUUUCCCUUUGCUGAAUCCCUCAUUUGCAGGCUGAUGAUCUCACUACCAUAUUCAUCAUUGAUGUGUGUCCAGAUUUUAGCAUGUUGAACAGGAAAAGGGAAAAGAUAAGAACUUUUUGAGAGUGAUUGUGAAUGAACCAUGUGCAGAACAUAUGGUGCUUGGAUGGGAACAGUGAAUGAGACUGCAAUUUGCAGGCAGAUUGGCUUUGAACUCAAAUUGCCUGAACUUGGCAGUAAUUCGACCCUUUUUUCAAUAGUAAGUUUAGAAAUUGGAUUCACAAAGUCUUGCAAAGAUAAUGAAGCAG